UUUCUUGGUCAUUAGAGGAAGUAAAAGUCGUAACAGGAGGGUCUCGGAAUAGGGUGGAUCUGCGGAGGGAUCAUUACAAGUGACCCCGGUCUAACCACCGGGAUGUUCAUAACCCUUUGUUGUCCGACUCUGUUGCCUCCGGGGCGACCCUGCCUUCGGGCGGGGGCUCCGGGUGGACACUUCAAACUCUUGCGUAACUUUGCAGUCUGAGUAAACUUAAUUAAUAAAUUAAAACUUUUAACAACGGAUCUCUUGGUUCUGGCAUCGAUGAAGAACGCAGCGAAAUGCGAUAAGUAAUGUGAAUUGCAGAAUUCAGUGAAUCAUCGAAUCUUUGAACGCACAUUGCGCCCCCUGGUAUUCCGGGGGGCAUGCCUGUUCGAGCGUCAUUUCACCACUCAAGCCUCGCUUGGUAUUGGGCAUCGCGGUCCGCCGCGUGCCUCAAAUCGACCGGCUGGGUCUUCUGUCCCCUAAGCGUUGUGGAAACUAUUCGCUAAAGGGUGUUCGGGACGGUGGUUCGACCGGGGUCACUUGUAAUGAUCCCAUUUCUCAGGUUGACCUAUCGAGAUCCAGGUAGGGAUACCCGCUGAACUUAAGCAUAUCAAAAGCCCGGAGGAA
rnacentral:rRNA from 1 species